GGAAGGAUCAUUAACACGUAUCCAAACGUACCAACCCCCCCCUUUAUACGAACCCACAACCCGCUCGCCGACUCGUGUUUUUCUGUUCUUUGAACAAAAAACAGCCCUGCCACUGGGAACGGUGGCGGCGCGCUGGACUCUUUUUGCGCAAGCAGAGAGAGACGCACAGUCCUUGAGCCUAUUUUUUAUAUUUCAAUCAACCCAUUCUCUGGUUUGACGAAAAUGAACACUUCUUGCUGUGUGGCGCCCUCAAAAAGCGACACGCCAGGAUUUUAUUUAUUGAACGCUGAACAACUUUUAGCAACGGAUGUCUUGGUUCUCGCAACGAUGAAGAACGCAGCGAAAUGCGAUACGUAAUGUGAAUUGCAGAAUUCAGUGAAUCAUCGAAUCUUUGAACGCAAAUUGCACUUCGGGGAAUCCCUGGAGUAUGCCUCUUUGAGUAUCGGUUCCCAUCUAUCUCGCCAGCACUUCGUGUGCGACCGAGAAGAGAGUGGGCGUUUCGCCUUUUACCAGGCGCAUCGCCUCAAGUGUACGGUUACAGCUCUUUGUGCUGCUGUAUGCGUGGAAAGAUAGGCGGCCUCGCGCUGCUCUUUUUGCCAGUUGCUCCUCACGGAGUGUCUGGCUAUCUUUUUCUCUGCUACAGCUGGCCGCUCUGCUCACUCUCGUAGUGAGCAGGGCGAGAGACUCUGUCUGCCGACACGCCGCUGGCCCCGCUUUUAAGCGGCCCGGUGGCGAGUCAACAUACAACAACCAAUCUGAUCUCAAAUGAAGUAAGAGGACCCCCUGAAUUUAAGCAUAUCAUUAAGGGGAGGAAAAGAAACUAACAAGGAUUCCCCUAGUAACGGCGAGUGAAGCGGGAGAAGCUCAAGCUUAAAAUCGGUUGCCCUCGCGGUGAUCGAAUUGUAGUCUAGAGAAGUUGUGGUCAGCGCGUGGCCCGGACCUAAGUCCUUUGGAACAGGGCGUCAGAGAGGGUGAGAACCCCGUCUUUGGUUCGGAGACCGCCGCGUACGAUGCGCUUUCGAAGAGUCGGGUUGCUUGGGACUGCAGCCCUAAUUGGAUGGUAAAUUUCAUCUAAAGCUAAAUAUUGGCGAGAGACCGAUAGCGAAACAAGUACCGUGAGGGAAAGAUGAAAAGAACUUUGAAAAGAGAGUUAAAAAGUGCCUGAAAUUGCUAAAAGGGAAGCGAUGAAAAUCAGUCGUGUGGGCGUAGUCAAAUUCCUCCAGGCACCGGAUCUGUGCGGGCGAGCACCGCAAGGGCUCGCCCGUUCCGUGAAGAGUGCCUGCAGUUUCUGAUUGCGUCCGAGUUCCAGGAUCAAUUCGGCGCAUCGCAGAACCGCCCUGGGAAGGUAGGUUAGAUGGGGCAACCCUGACAACUGUUAUAGCCCUAGGUAGUGUGCGCGUGUGCUGGAUUGAGGCUUCUAUCGAAGGCAAGGCGCGUCUCGAAACGGUUGCGCCCCGGGUCGUGAGGAGGCUGGAAUGCAAUGCAUUGCUGACUCCGUAACGGCUUGCUGGCGUGGCCCUCUUUCUGCGCUUUCGCGAUCCUGGAGAAAUGGUUUUCACCGACCCGUCUUGAAACACGGACCAAGGAGUCUAACAUAUAUGCGAGUAUUUGGGUGCAAAACCCUGAUGCGCAAUGAAAGUGAAGGCAGGCGAUUUCGUCUGCUGAAGUGUGAUCCGCAAGGAGCAACAUUGACCGAUCAGUCAUUUAUGAAAGAUUUGAGUAAAAGCAUAUCUGUCGGGACCCGAAAGAUGGUGAACUAUGCCUGGACAGGGCGAAGCCAGGGGAAACUCUGGUGGAGGCUCGUAGCGAUACUGACGUGCAAAUCGUUCGUCUGAUCUGGGUAUAGGGGCGAAAGACUAAUCGAACCAUCUAGUAGCUGGUUCCCUC
rnacentral:misc_RNA from 1 species